rnacentral:rRNA from 1 species
GUUGUUGGGUAGGGGAGCGUUCUGUAAGCCUGUGAAGGUGUGCUGUGAGGCAUGCUGGAGGUAUCAGAAGUGCGAAUGCUGACAUAAGUAACGAUAAAGCGGGUGAAAAGCCCGCUCGCCGGAAGACCAAGGGUUCCUGUCCAACGUUAAUCGGGGCAGGGUGAGUCGACCCCUAAGGCGAGGCCGAAAGGCGUAGUCGAUGGGAAACAGGUUAAUAUUCCUGUACUUGGUGUUACUGCGAAGGGGGGACGGAGAAGGCUAUGUCGGCCGGGCGACGGUUGUCCCGGUUUAAGCGUGUAGGCUGACUUUCCAGGCAAAUCCGGAAAGUUAAGGCUGAGGCGUGAUGACGAGGCACCACGGUGCUGAAGUGACAAAUGCCCUGCUUCCAGGAAAAGCCUCUAAGCAUCAGGUAACAUCAAAUCGUACCCCAAACCGACACAGGUGGUCAGGUA